ensembl:lncRNA
GGGAAGGUUAAGUCAAGAGCUCAAACUCAUUGUUGUGACUCAAAAACUAUUCCUGAAUCAUUUUUCUUUGUGGCAGGGUGGAUUAUGGUCUGCAGCAAUGCUUAAGUAGGCGACACAUGUUAAAGUAGCAUCCACAUGGGUGAAGGAGGACCCAAGGUUUCCCAGCAGAACAUUGUCCAAAGCAUCACACUGCCUCCAUUGACUUGCUUUCUUCCUAUCAUGCAUCCUUGUGCCAGGUGUUACCCAAGUAACCAAUGCACAUGCACCCAGCCAUCCGCAUGAUAUGAAAGAAAACACAAUUAAUCACACCAGGACACCUUCUUCCAUUGCUCCGUGGUCCAGUUCUGAUCCUCACAUGCCCAUUGUUACAAGAUUCAGCGUGAGCACCCUGACUGCUCUGCGGCCCCAUGCACAACAAACUGAUGUGUUGUGGGGAGGCUGUAGCUCAGGAGUUAGAACAAGUCAUCUGCUAAUCAGAGAGAUGGUGGUUCAACUCUUUGCUACUCCAGUCUGCCAAAUAUUCUUGGGCAAGAUGUUGAAUCUAAAGUUCUGUUCUGUUCAGUUGAGUAAGAAUGUGAUAGCAGGGCUCUAGACUAACUUUUUGCCAUGGGUGCAAAUAUUUGGUUGCACCUGUGCGACCAACUGUUCGGGUAGCAAAAAAAAAAUAAAAAUCUGCAACCUUCCCUAUGGUCAACAACAGACACACAUUUUGCCCCUAUCGUGGACUAAACCAAUCAGAGAUAGUCAGGGGCGGGACCUCUCUGAUUGGCCGUGGUCCAGUUGAAAGUGCAGGUGGAAGUGGGAGGUGAGUAGCUUGAAUAAAGCGAUAUCAAUUCAUUAAAUCCUGAAUCGACUUUUAAAUAUAACUGUGUUUUGCCAGAAACACCAGAUUCUCAGAUUAAAGCUCACAAAACCAUUUCAACAACAACCGAACAGCAGAUGAGAGCAGGUACACGGACUCCACACAAAGACGUAAACACAGACCCGACGCAUCAGAAUCAACUUUGUCUUUCUCGGCUUUCUCACCCGAUGGCCCGUAGACGGUCACGCUGUUGGAGCUCAGCGAUCCUGAUGCGUCCGGUCCGCGCUGUGUUUACGUCUUUUUGCGCCGAUUCUGAGCUGCAGGUUUUGUCUCUCUCCAACCAAAAUUCACCGAGCCUGCAGCAAAAGAAGCAGCAAACUGCGCUUCACAUUUGAUCAAUGUCGUCAUGAAUUUUGCUGUUUUGCUUCCACGACUAUUAAAAUCACA